rnacentral:rRNA from 1 species
GACGAACGCUGGCGGCGUGCCUAAUACAUGCAAGUAGAACGCUGAAGAGAGGAGCUUGCUCUUCUUGGAUGAGUUGCGAACGGGUGAGUAACGCGUAGGUAACCUGCCGGGUAGCGGGGGAUAACUAUUGGAAGCGUUAGCUAAUACCGCAUAAAAUUGAUUAUUUCAUGAUAAUUAAUUGAAAGAUGCAACUGCUUCACUACCAUAUGGACCUGCGUUGUAUUAGCUAGUUGGUGAGGUAACGGCUCACCAAGGCGACGAUACAUGGCCGACCUGGGAGGGUGGUCGGGCACAAUGGGAACGAGGAACGGCCCCGACUCCUACGGGAGGCAGCAGUAGGGAAUCUUCGGACAUGGGGGGAACGCUGACCGAGCACAGACGCGUGAGUGAAGAAGGUUUUCGGAACGUAAAGCUAUGUUGUAAGAGAAGAACGGGUGUGAGAGUGGAAAGUUCACACUGUGACGGUAUCUUAACAGAAAGGGACGGCUAACUACGUG